AUGUUAGCGACCCAAGCAAUUUCCUGUGGUGUUCUGUCCCUGUGUUUCUUGAUCCUGUUCAAUGCAGAAAGAAGAUCCAGCUUCAUGAAGUGGCUCUGCAAUUUCCUCAAGGGGACGAAGCCCGUGGAGUCGAACCACCGGCGGCGGCCUCGGGUGACCGCGGGAGAAGAGAGCUCGCUCUGGCAACAAGAACCGGUCAGGCCAAAGAGGGAGGAUCCACCUAGACAUGACAAUGAAGAAUUGGACCGUCAGAUUGCACUCUCUCUCGCAGAGGAAGCCAAACGUACUAAAGAGCGAAACCAUAACAAGGGAGAGAACGAUGAAGACCUGGCCAAGGCAAUGCAGGACAGUCUGAACAUGAAUCCUUACAUGCCACACAAUCCCUAUGCCCCCUCCCAGGCCUUGCCUAGAGGGCAAAGGGUCUGUGGUGGCUGCAAGCAUGAGGUAGGACAUGGCCAUUACUUGAGCUGCAUGGGAAUGUACUGGCAUCCUCAAUGCUUCCGUUGCUCUUCUUGCACACACCCUAUCCGCGAGACCGAGUUCACCUUGCUAGGCGCAGAGCCAUACCACAAGUUGUGCUACAAGGAGCUACACCACCCGAAAUGUGAUGUCUGCCUUCAAUUUAUUGCGACGAACAGGACGGGCUUGAUAGAGUACAGAGCCCAUCCAUUCUGGGGCCAGAAGUAUUGCCCCUCACAUGAGCUUGACCGCACACCUCGUUGCUGUAGCUGUGAGAAAAUGGAGCCAAGGAACACAAAAUAUAUGUCGCUGGGAGACGGGCGCAGUUUGUGCAUGGAAUGCCUGGAUUCUGCGGUCAUGGACACGGGUGAAUGCCAGCCCCUGUACCACUCCAUCAGAGACUACUACGAAGGGAUGAACAUGAAACUCGACCAGCAGAUACCCAUGCUCCUGGUUGAGCGGCAAGCGCUCAACGAAGCAAUGGAAGGGGAGUGCAAAGGUCCUCACCACAUGCCUGAAACAAGAGGCCUAUGUCUGUCGGAAGAGCAGACUGUGAGCAGUAUACUUAGAAGGCCCAGGAUUGGUGGACAUAGGUUACUAGAUAUGAGAACCCAGCCACAAAAGCUGACUCGCAGAUGUGAGGUCACUGCAAUUCUUGUCUUGUAUGGACUCCCCAGGCUACUAACUGGCUCCAUCCUUGCCCAUGAAUUGAUGCACGGGUGGUUGCGCCUCAAAGGUUACCGAAACCUAAGCCCAGAGGUUGAGGAGGGUAUAUGCCAAGUCAUGUCUUACUUGUGGCUCGAGUCGGAGAUUCUUCCAGCUUCUACAAGACACGCUCAACCUUCAACCUCGUAUGCUUCAUCCUCGUCGUCUUCCUCAUAUCGACCACCAUCAUCCAAGAAGGGUGGCAUAUCUCACACCGAGAAGAAGCUUGGCGAGUUCUUCAUGCAUCAGAUUGCCAAUGACACCUCAACAGCAUAUGGUGACGGAUUCAGAACUGCCUAUAAAGCUGUCAACAAGUAUGGCCUUCGCCAGACACUGAACCAUAUACGUUUAACUGGAGGUUUUCCUGUGUAA
rnacentral:rRNA from 1 species